CUGUUUUCUACUUAUUUUCUAUUAAUUCGUUUGUUCAUCAUUUGUUCUUGAUUGUUCAUUGUUAAUAAUUGUUUGUUCCCCAUUUAUUUAUUUUAAAAAAAAUAUUAAAAAUAUAUCUAAAAGUUAGCCCCUCGAUUGCAAUUUUUAAUAUUUUUUCGUCCUUAAUUACUCGUAAAUAUUCAUUUUCGAUUGUUCUUAUAUAAAAUACGUUUGUUCUCUUUCGAAAUUACUCAUUUUUUGUUUAAUUAAUUGUAUUAGUUGAAUAAAUGUAUACAAAAUAUGUGUACUGCGCAUGCCAUAAGUGUAUAAUCUAUGGCGCAUGCGUCAACUAUAAUGCCUAAACUUUCGACGCGGUUUUAAUCGUGAAAAAAAAACAAUUAUAAAUCCUGAAGGAUCAAUUAAUUGGUAUACAGUUUAAUUAAAAAAAUUAAAAACAAAAUAAAUAAAAUAAUGUGCAUUCGCGUAAAGUUAGACCAAAUACAUUUUUUCCAUCCUCCUAUAUACCUAUCGCUAUGAAGGUAUAAAAAAGAUAGGUUAAGAGUUCACAUAGGUAAUACAGCACAUAGGUAAUACAAAAACAAAUAAGUAAAUAUGUUCAUUAUUUAUCUUUCAAGAGAUAAUGUAGGUAUACAUUAUAAUAACAUUUUGACACAGUCGAAAUUAUAUUCCUAACAUUAGUAAAAUAACAUUUUAAUAUUUUUUUUAUAGGUUAUGUAUUGAAAUUGUUGGAAAAUUAUUUCAUGUUUUAGCUGGAAAACUACAUGGAGAAUUAUAUGCAAUACAAGAUAAUGAGCUCCAUUAAAUGAAUUCGAAUGAAACCAAACUGUUUACCAUCCAAAUUCGAUUGUCGGGCAGAUAGAAAACGAAAAUUCACUCAUAGUGAACCUCGGCCUGCAUUUGUGAAACGGCAAAGACUCACUAUUAUCAAGGAAAUUGAAGAGACGACUAAAAAUGAGAUGUGUCGUAUUAUUAUACCUUUGCCAUCUUGUAGUCAAGAUGUCCAGUCACUUGAAAAUAGGUGUAGUAAUGACAAAGCUAUCCAAGUAGCUCCAGCACAGGAACACAAAGGCAAGGCAAGUGUGUAUUGCCACAUCACCCCUUAAUAUAUCUGAAGCAAGUAUAAGUAAACAAUCAGAACCAGCAAAAAAAAACUGUUGUUCCUAAGGACAAAUUUGACAGUGAUGAGUCAAAUGCACCAGCAACAGAAGGAUCAACUGUUGACUAUGAGUUAUCUCUCUAUAUCUCCACUCCAUCAAAGACUUGUGCACUUCAGACUAUAGUUCUCAAGAAGACUAAAAAGUUGAAAAAAUGAAUGUGUUAACAACUUUAUCUAAAGUGAAAAAUAAACAACGUUUAUAUAUUGGUCUUCCACAAGAAUUAUGUUUCAUAAUAGGCUUGAUUGAGAAACAUACAAAUGUUUCUGAACAAAAUAUUAUAUUAUGUCUGAUGAGAAUAACAUUAAAUAGAACAUUCUCUCAAUUGGCUGAUGAUUUCGAUUUAUCUGUAAGUCAAGCAAGCAAUAUAUUUUUCAACAAACUCCCAGAAAUUGCAAAUGUAAUAUCACCCCUUGUUAGACUAUAAAAAAAACAAUACAAUAAAUAUAUAUGCAGGAAGGAUAAUUGAUGUCAACUUGGUGGAAAAUAGAAAGUUUUUAGAUAGUUUGCCACCUACAAAACUCUUUAAUUAAAUAAGUAAUCCUUACUUAUAAAUAGGAAGUUUUGUAAGUAUUUUCACUCUUCAUUCAAAAACUACUGAACAGAUUUUAAUAAGACUUUUAUGCUGGUCUUCUAUGGCCAGCAACUCAUUAUUAUUUUGAUUCUGUUUUCCACAAAUGUGCUAAAUAUGGGCUUAUAUAUAUGAAAAGGAAUAAAUGUUAAUGUUAUGUAACCUUUGUACCUGUAUGUUAAGAUUAAUUUUUAAUAAAACAUAAUUUAAAUUGAAAUAUUAUUUUUAUUAAAUCACAUUCACUUUGUACACAUCAAUAUUUUGUACUCCCUAAAAGGAAAAUAGGUAUAAAGUUUUUUUUAAAUAUUUAACAUUACAUUUUUGUGUAAGAUUAGAAAAUUGUUAUUCUUCCAAAAAGAAACUACAUUAUCUAACAACUGUGCAACUUACUCGGAAUCAAAAUCAAUACCUACUAAUUAUAGUGACCUGAUUAGUUUUUUCAAAGUUGCUGGAUGCUACACAAAAGUAGCAAGUUUUACUUUUAGCGCAAUACAUAUGCAUUUGAACUUGUGCAUAAUAUCUUUCUUUAAUUUUUUUUUUGCCUUUUUAUUUAUGGAAACAUAGCAUUACUCACUUGCUUGUUUGUAGAUCUAUCAAAAAAACAUAAUUUAUGUUUUUUUUUAGCACAGUGGGCAAUACCCUAUUAUUCAUAUUAAUUAUAUACGGCGCGGCGAUGCGAAAAUUCAUUACUGAAUUAUUUAAGAAUGAUAGGCAUAAUAUAAUAUUUUAAUUCGCGAUCUGUUUAUAAUUUUUAAUAUAUGAUUUAAAAAUAAGUUAUCUUUAAUAUUUUUAAUUUUGUGAUUUAUGGGGUGGUCACAGUCAUUAUUAUAAAAAUAGAAAUUUUGAGGAAAUAUAAAUGUUUAAUACAAAUUAUUUUGAUAAUCGAAAUAAAUUCAUAUCAAUCCAAAUUCAUAUUUGAACUAUGAAAAUUGUAUGGUAUGUAAACAGAAAUAUAUUUUAUAAUUAUAAUGACUAUUUAUUCCAUGCAGUGUCGGUUAGAGAAGCUGUGCAAGCUUCUCUAACCGAAACUGCAACUAGAAUAAAGUCUAAUAAAGAAUAAGAAUAAACUUUUCUUCGAAGCUCAAUUCUACAAGGGUAUUCAAUCAGAUAGCUAUCUAUCUGUCGUUCCUGUAUGAAAUUUUGAUAUAUUAAGGGGUGAUGUGGCAAUACACACUUGCCUUGCCUUUGUGUUCCUGUGCUGGAGCUACUUGGAUAGCUUUGUCAUUACUACACCUAUUUUCAAGUGACUGGACAUCUGGAAAUAUGAAAUAAUGUUAGCAAUUUCCAACAAACGUAUAGUUUGUAAAUAUAUAGGAUUAUAUGUGUACUGUCGUAGUAGUAGUAGUAGUAUUUAACUUCCUAGUCAUCAUCAUCAGCCCAUAUAAUAUAUCCCCUUGCUGGACACUGGCCUUCACUACCAUUGAGAGGGUUUUUAGGCCUUAGUCCACCAUGCUGGCCUAGUGCUGGUUGGUGGAUUACACACCUAAGAAAAUCCUAAGAACAUUUAGGUGUGCAGGUUUCAUCACAAUGUUUUCCUUCACUGUUAAAGUAAGUAAGUGAUAUUACACUGUGAUAAAUUUUCAUUUUCACAAACUUCCUAGUACCUUAUGUAAUAGGAACUGAGAUCCACUUGCCCAUUUUGGCUACUUCCACUAACUAACUAACUAUUCUCAUUUUUUUCUGAUAUUGUUAUUUGAUUAGGAGAUCUGUGAGUGUAACUAAUUAUUGACAGUUACACCUACCUUGACUACAAGAUGGCAAAGGUAUAAUAAUACGACACAUCUCAUUUUUAGUCGUCUCUUCAAUUUCCUUGAUAAUAGUGAGUCUUUGCCGUUUCACAAAAUAUGCAGGCCGAGGUUCACUAUGAGUGAAUUUUCGUUUUCUAUCUGCCCGACAAUCGAAUUUGGAUGGUAAACAGUUUGGUUUCAUUCGAAUUCAUUUGAUGGAGCUCAUUAUCUUGUAUUGCAUAUAAUUCUCCAUGUAGUUUUCCAGCUAAAACAUGAAAUAAUUUUCCAACAAUUUCAAUACAUAA